UCGACUUCACCAGUCUUUGAAGUCGAUUUGAGAAGUCGCAAAGCUUUCUGGAGAAGCUCUCGAGAAUCCUACUUUAAUCACUGAAGAGAGACGAGACGAGAAUACCAAAUCAACAAUGAAUAAGGGAAUACUGGUGCUGUUGUUCGUCGCCCUGCUCAUGGUGCUGGCCCCCGCUAGUGCCCUCGUUAUCACCCAAAAGCGAAAGUUUCCGGGAGAACGACGCUUAGGAGCCACGAACUACGGACAGCACGAAUUCGGUUCAAAAGGGUUCAGGAGGAGGGCGCAUUACAGUUAGUGCGAGGACGUGGAUAAUGAGACAAGCAUUCAUAUAAAAAAACAAUAUGAGGGUGAAACAACUUCCAAACUACAAGGGUCAUGACAACGAAAACUGUUUUUGAAAUUAUUUUGUCUCAAAGAAGAAAAAAAA